GGGGCAGGGUGCUGUGCAUCCCCAGAGCUGGCAGGCAAGCCACGGGCGGCCCGCAGGAGAGCCACCGCUCAUCACGGCGGGCAACCUGCCCACCCAGGGAAGGUUUCAGGAUCCUGUUCCGCUAAAUAAAUGAAUGAAUCAUCAUGAUACUUAAUUCUCUUAGCCAGCCACCAGCCAUGCGUAGGGAUGUGGCAAGGCUAUGCGUGCCGGCGAGGGAGGAACCUGAUUGGCUGGGUUGCUGUUGGCAGCGAGGAGAGGCAGUCAUGGAGGUCCUGCACAAACAAUUCCUGCCCUGGGUCCGUCCUGCAAAAGCUUGAAAUAGCCCUGGUCCCAAGGAAGGGUUUACAAUGGCAAAGAUGACUGGAUCAUUUCCUUCAUCAGGAGUUCAUGGAAUAAGAGGUGGAGCUCAUUGGAUCAUCGAAGCCAAAUUCCUAUUCCUGCUGCUAAAUAUCCCCAUCCAACUUUCU